rnacentral:lncRNA from 10 species
CCACGCCUGGCGAAUUUUGUAUUUUUAGUAGAGAUGGGGUUUCUCCAUGUUGGCCAGGCUGGUCCCUAACUCCCAGCCUCAGGUGUUCCACCCGCCUCAGCCUCCCAAAAUGCUGGGAUUACAGGCGUGAACCACCGCACCCGGCCUGCCACCAAGUUCUUUAGUGGUCUGCCUGGCCAUGUCUGUUUCCCAGAGACAGAAUGGCUCAGACUGCGUUGGGUUCAUUAUCUUCCCUUUCCUCUUUUCAGCGUUAUGAACAGAACUUUAUUUUUUCCAACCUAAACCAAUCAUCCUGCAUUGGGAUGGAUGGAUUGAGGGAAAGAUCAUGGUACCAGAUCUGCAGGCAGCUGGGGACAGAAGUCUUCACUUGCAUGGGUGGUGAGAGCAGAACUGAGAAGGUGGGGUCAACUUUAAAGAUGGGCAUUUCCAAGGACACGGAGUAUUGAGCAUUGAGUCCACUGGGAGGACACCAAACGCCAGGCUCCAGAGAUCCAAAUUUGUAGAAUCGCAUGAAUCCCAAGAAAUCACAAGAGAUCUUAGAAGAAAAGGAUCCUUCAAGUGUGGUGAGUGCAGUAAGGGAUCUAGUAGGAAGUCACAUCUUGCUGUUUGCAGAGUAAAGACGUGUGAAGAAGCCCUGAAGAACAGCCACAAGUUCUCCCACAGCCGUGCACUGCUCCAGGGAAAACCCACACCUGCAGUGAGCGCAGGAACAUCACUGUGUGACGACGUGGCCGUCCGCUGCAGAGAAGGCCCAGGAGUGUGUGGAAAGCCUCCACAGAUGUAGCCCACAUGGAAGAGCCUAGCAGAUGAUGAGGCCCUUUCCUCCCACCACAGAGCACGUGUGAGAAUGGAGCGCAGGCACCUUCUCUCAGAAGGCCAUUGUUGUUGAUCAGGCGGUCCACUCUGGAGACUUUGGAAGCUGUCUAGGAUGUAAAGAAUGCAGGAAUGAUUUCAGAGAGGGAUCACACCUCACUGCACGCCAGAGAGUUCAGGCUCCAAUGAGCCAUAUAUGUGCAGGAGGUGUGGAAGAGCUUUUGUGUGUGUUAUACUGCAGAACUGGAGGGACGCCAUCAGUGUACCUGAGUGGCAAAGCCUUUAGGGAGAGCUCCCAAGUCCUGGCUCAUCAGUGCAUUCACACAAGGGGAAAAGCCUUUUACAGGUGGGGAGGCCUUCAGGGAUCAGCCUCACGUCAUUGUCAGAGUUUUCAUUUUGGGAAGAAGCCUUUACAUUUUUAUUUUUUGAGACAGUGUAACUCUGUCGACCAGGCUGGAGUGCAGUUGUGCAAUCACAGCUCACUGCAGUCUUGACUUCCUGGGCUCAAGUCAUCCUCCCACCUCAGCCUACUGAGUAGCUGGGACUACAGGUACACACCACCAUGCCCAGCUAAGGAAGGAGCCUUAAGAAUGCCAGAGGUCAACCAGGCACAGUGGCACACGCCUGCAAUCCCAGCACUUUGAGAGGCCAAGGCGGACGGAUCACCUGAGGUCAGGAGUUUGAGACUAGCCUGACCAACAUGGAGAAACCUCGUCUCUACCAAAAAGACGAAAUUAGCCAGGCGUGGUGGCGCAUUCCUGUAAUCCCAGCUACUUGGGAGGCUGAGGCAGGAGAAUCACUUGACCCCGGAAGGCAGAGGUUGCGGUGAGCCGAGAUCGUGCCAUUGCACUCCAGUCUGGGUGACAGAGCAAGACUCUGUCUCCAAAAAAAAAAAAAAAAAAAAAAAAAAGGCCAGGUGCCGCGGCUCACGCCUGUAAUCCCAACACUUUGGGAGGCCGAGGUGGGUGGAUCACUUGAGGUCAGGAGUUCAAGACCAGCCUGGCUAACAUGGUGAAACCCCGUCUCUACUAAAAUACAAAAAAAUUAGCUGGGCUUGGUGUCACACGCCUGUAAUCCCAGCUACUCAGGAGGCUGAGGCAGGAGAAUUGCUUGAACCUGGGAGGUGGAGGUUGCAGUGAACUGUCAUCAUGCCACUGCACUCCAGCCUGGGUGACAGAGCGAGACUGCGUCUCAAAAAAUAAAUAAAUAAAUAAGAAAGAAAGAAUGCCAGAGGUGUGGACAAGUGUUCAGACAUAACUAGAAUCUCAUGGCCCAUCAGAGUCCACAUAAGAGAGAAGCCUGGGAAUGCCAUCAGUGUGGCUGGACAAGGAAUACCAGCCUUAUAAAUCAUCAGACUCCACUCUGGGGAGAGACAUUGACUGGGAGGGAGGAGGGAAGAAAGGCUGUGGAUAAUCAUGGGGACCUUCAUUAACAUAGUAGAAUUCACACAGUUUCAAAUCCCAUGAGUGUAAUGAGUGGGAAAGCAGAAAAAAGAUCACACCUUACUCUACCCUAGAAUUCAUGUAGGAGAGAGAUGGUACAAACAAACCACAGAGAGAAAAGCCUUCACUUGUAGCUAAUUCAUUCCAGAGAAGGGCUUGGCAAGCUGUUUUUGUAAAGGACCAGAGAGUAAAUCUGUUUAGGCUUUGGGGGCCGUGUGGUCUCUGCUGUAACUGCUUAGCUGUACUGGGAGCACAAAGAUGGCCACAGAUAGCAUGUGUGCAAAUGGGCAUGGUUGAGUUCCGGUAAAGCUUAGCUUUCUUCUUGUUUUUUUCUUUCUUUCUUUCUUUUCUUUUCUUUUCUUUUUUUU